rnacentral:lncRNA from 1 species
CAUUGUUCUAUGACAUCCAAGAGCAAACCUGUGUGGAAGACGAAAAUAUGGAGUACAGUCCGUGGCAUGGAAUAUGCAGCAUAGCUCCAUCAAAUUCUGUAAUCUCCUUUCUCUGAGAGCAGAAAGAAUCCUGGAGGAGAAACUAUGUUUAUCUGUAGUUGCAAAGCGUCAGGUACACGGUAGGCAGAGCUAAAAGUGGACAGAUAGUAGCUAAAUGAAGAAAAGUAUCUGGACUCUGCAAUUUGAAUAUGUUUUCAAGUAGUAUGAUCAUCUGGG